rnacentral:tRNA from 1 species
AGCUCAGUUGGUAGAGCGCAACCUUGCCAAGGUUGAGGUCGCGAGUUCGAGACUCGUC